GAGCGUGACGACCAGCCAGUUGGAACCUACGAUAACAGAUAUUUCUUAUUAUUAAAGGGUGACGAAACCGCUGGAUACACAGGUGAUAGAACAAAGCAGCAGUGAUCCAGAGAGGGCUAAUCUCCUUCCGAGUCUCCUUAGGAAAAGCUACUGGCGGAGGGUUGGUAAUCAAUUAAAUGGCAAACUAGUGCAAAGUUGAGAUACUUAUUGCCACUCAAACUAGUUGCAUUCAGCGAUAAUCCGUAGUAAACUAUGGCAUUAACGGCCCAAAUGAG